rnacentral:rRNA from 1 species
UACGUAGGUGGCAAGCGUUGUCCGGAUUUACUGGGCGUAAAGAGCGCGCAGGCGGUCGUAUAAGUCGAAUGUGAAAGCCCCCGGCUCAACUGGGGAGGGUCAUUCGAUACUGUUCGACUCGAAGGCAGGAGAGGGAAGUGGAAUUCCGGGUGUAGUGGUGAAAUGCGUAGAUAUCCGGAGGAACACCAGUGGCGAAGGCGACUUCCUGGACCAGUACCGACGUUCAGGCACGAAAGCGUGGGGAGCAAACAGG